AUUGAACGCUGGCGGUAUGCUUAACACAUGCAAGUCGAACGAUGAGAAAGAGCUUGCUCUUUCGAUUAGUGGCGGACGGGUGCGUAACGCGUAGGAAUCUACCUAUUAGUGGGGGACAACUUAGGGAAACUUAAGCUAAUACCGCAUACGCCCUACGGGGGAAAGAAGGGGAUCGCAAGACCUUUUGCUAAUAGAUGAGCCUGCGUAGGAUUAGCUAGUUGGUGGGGUAAAAGCUCACCAAGGCGACGAUCCUUAACUGGUUUGAGAGAAUGAUGAGUCACACUGGAACUGGGACACAGGCCAGACUCCUACGGGAGGCAGCAGUGGGGAAUAGUUGACAAGGGGCGAAAGCCUGAUCCAGCAAUACCGCGUGUGUGAAGAAGGCCUUAGGGUUGUAAAGCACUUUCAAUUGGAAGGAAAACCUCGAAGCUAAUACCUUCGAGUUUGACAUUACCUUUAGAAGAAGCACCGGCUAACUCCGUGCCAGCAGCCGCGGUAAUAC
rnacentral:rRNA from 1 species